GCAGUGGCAAUUUUUUUUUUUUUUAAUGCUGCGGCACUGGAUUUUGUAUGUGUCCAGUUAAGCCUUUGGUUUGGAAGUUCUGAGAUAUCUGUGAUAAAAGCUGAAAAAAGUAUGUUUGCUCACUGAGGUAAUAAUAAUAAAAAAAAAAUCACAUGAAAAAAUUACAUAGGGGAUUUUUUUUAUAUUUUUCUUUCCAAGACUCACAUGGUGUCAAAGUUCCAAAAGGGCUAAUUUGACCCUAACACUCGGUGGCAAUGCUGUUAUCGUUCAGAGAUGCCCAGUAUCAAACAAUUCCUAAUAAACCCUACCUGAGCCAAUCAAUGAAGUCAAAAACUGUCCUCCCGUUCUUUCAUUGAAGCCAGUCCAGAUCAGCCCAUUGCUUUCAAAAUCUCAGAUAGUUAAAAGAAACGCAACUCCAAAUGCAGUAAAGCUACGGUCCAGCAUGGCACGUUUCAGGACUUAAUCCGGCUACGGUGAAUUGCAGCCUGAUGUCCUUUCAGUAUGAGGAGGAGAGUAUGAACACGUGGUGGCUUUAGCAGUACUCUCAAGUUGUGCAUGGAUCUGCUUAGUUAUACGCGUCACACAAUUACGAGUAGUCCGUUCAUUAGGGCGCGUCGGAUUAUACCGUUACGCCCAGUGUUUGUACUGAACACGUAUACAAUGCCAGAACCUGUAUAAUGGAGAUUGUACUCAUGAGCCUUAGUCUUCUGUGUGCAGUAUGUAAAAGCGAGCGGAACUAGUACGUCUUCUAGGGUGAUAUCUCUAACCAUUAUGUAUGCAAUAUGAAAAAAAUUUAAUACACAUUAACAAAAAAAACAUUAAUUUAGUAUAUGUACAUAGCGUACAUUUGUCUUCUGCAUCCUAUUGUAACACAAUAUUGUAUGUGUGUCCUCCACAAUCUUAGAUCUCAAGCGCAUGGCCGUAUUUUAUCAUCUUACAACCGGAGUUGUACGGUGUCAUAACACCUUGCCCUUAAUGUACCACAAUCUUGAUUUCAGAGUGUAUUUUUCCCUCUUAUUCUCAUUCUUUCGAAUUGAAAGAAAUGAUGGUGUGCUUCAUUGUCUGCUGUUUGUAUGGAAGCAGUGGUGGCUGGGCUUUCUAAUACAGCAUCUCUGCCAUGGGCAUGAGGCACUGCCUUGAUGCCAACUAGGUUUAGUUGCAUGGCACUUACCUGAUCGUUCACGUUGGUGCCGUAUACAUAGAGUAGCCUGCUGCGUCCCAGUAAACAUCAACAGAUUUCAAUAUACAGGUUGCUCUCGACUUUUACUGCCUGAAGAAGAAAUACGAAGCAAUAAUCUCUCCCAUGUGAUGACAGCUUCUUAUUUUACUGGCAGGUUUACAGUUUGUGGCUUCCAUGCACCUAUAAUCCAAUCCAGAAUACCUUCUGUGUGUGCAAACUAAAACAAAACAAAAAUCUGUUUGGAAGUCUGUCCUAUUUUAAAGAACAUGUUUGCUUGUAUGUUGUCAGUAAACAUUAAACUGCUGAUUUCUU